UACAUUAAGGUGUAUGAUGCACAAUAAUUUUUGAUAGUAAUGGAGAUUAUUUAAUUCUAUCUGAUGUAA
rnacentral:tRNA from 1 species